GACGAACGCUGGCGGCGUGCCUAAUACAUGCAAGUCGAGCGCAGGAAACUGACGGAACUCUUCGGAGGGAAGGCAGUGGAAUGAGCGGCGGACGGGUGAGUAACACGUAAGGAACCUGCCUCAAGGAUUGGGAUAACUCCGAGAAAUCGGAGCUAAUACCGGAUAGUUCAACGGACCGCAUUGUCCGCUGAUGAAAGGCGCUCCGGCGUCACCUUGAGAUGGCCUUGCGGUGCAUUAGCUAGUUGGUGGGGUAACGGCCUACCAAGGCAACGAUCAGUAGCCGGCCUGAGAGGGCGGACGGCCACACUGGGACUGAGACACGGCCCAGACUCCUACGGGAGGCAGCAGUGGGGAAUUGUUCGCAAUGGGCGCAAGCCUGACGACGCAACGCCGCGUGGAGGACGAAGAUCUUCGGGUCGUAAACUCCUGUCGAGCGGGAAGAACACCCACCCGGUGAACAAUCGGGAGGGCUGACGGUACCGCUAAAGGAAGCCCCGGCUAACUCCGUGCCAGCAGCCGCAGUAACAC
rnacentral:rRNA from 1 species